rnacentral:rRNA from 1 species
GUAGGGUGCGAGCGUUGUCCGGAAUUAUUGGGCGUAAAGAGCUCGUAGGCGGCCUGUUGCGUCUGCUGUGAAAGCCCGGGGCUUAACCCCGGGUCUGCAGUGGAUACGGGCAGGCUAGAGUUCGGCAGGGGAGACUGGAAUUCCUGGUGUAGCGGUGAAAUGCGCAGAUAUCAGGAGGAACACCGGUGGCGAAGGCGGGUCUCUGGGCCGAUACUGACGCUGAGGAGCGAAAGCGUGGGGAGCGAACAGGAUUAGAUACCCUGGUAGUCCACGCCGUAAACGUUGGGCGCUAGGUGUGGGGUCCCUUCCACGGGUUCCGUGCCGUAGCUAACGCAUUAAGCGCCCCGCCUGGGGAGUACGGCCGCAAGGCUAAA